UCAAAAUAUUAAUUAAAACUCUACUAGUAUCCCAGGUCAGAUUGAUCACAGCGAGACGGUCUUACCUCACUCUCCGGAUCGAGGAAGGACCAGCCGCCCUGCUCGAAAAAGCCCUCGGGAUCGUCCACAAUGGUCUUCAUGAUCUUGGUCCAGUUCAGAGACUGUACGCCUUCAGUGUACUUGAUAUCGCACGAGCUGCACACAGACACACAACACGUUCACUCGCACUGUAAACGUCUCAGACGAGAGCGGCGCGGCCGGCAUGCCAGCUUACUUGAGCCACUCUUUGAUGGGAUCCAGAGAGUUGACGGGCACAGCGUUGAUCAUGGUGACUUUCUUGUUGUAGUCCUUAUAAACGAUGACCACGUCGAAGUUCUUCAGGUGGAAGUGCAGCACGAUGAUCAUCUCUCCGUCGCAGGGCUGGAAAAUGGCGUGUUUGAUGUUGUUGUAAAGGAUGUCGACUUUAUCGCCGCGUACUGACGUGAAACGGAAACCUGGAGAGACACACAGAGUCAGUUUUUUGUGAUUAACAUUCAUAUUUUAUAUAUCGCUUCUGCACCUCUUUGAUGAUACGGAAGGCGUUCUGCAGGUUGGUGGAGGGAACGGAGUGAUCGCCGGGCGACUUGAGGUUCGACGCGCGGUACGUACUGAAAAGAACAGUGUUAGCACGCAAAAAGGCUUUAACGCUUGCUUAAAAAAAAGCACUGUUCAACCUACAGGUCUGAAAAUGACAGAACAGUCAUUUAGGCUAAAACACAAGCUGAAAAAUGAACAAAUGUGUCACAAAAAGUUGAUGCAAAUGAAUUUGAAUCAAAAGGUGUUCAGACCAAAACCAUUUGCAUGGCAGGUUUCUUUAUGGAGAGGAUCUAAUCUCUUCUCGAGUGCACUGCAAGUAAAUCACAAACAGAUUAUUUUGCCGAGCGAAAGUUAAGAGAAGUUAUUGUUUGUGUUUAUAAUUUAGCACCAUGCUAUAGCCCCACAGUUAUAUCUAUGCCAAGAAACAAGUGAAAAAUAGAAAAGUAAAAUACCUAAAUUAUAGACUACACACACACACACACACACACAAAAAAAAAAAAAAAGUGUAAAGCUUCUCUCUAAAUCUAAACUAAAGCUGGUCUCACUUUAAUACCAAAAAAUAAAUAAAUUAGUGAUGCACCAAAAUAAAUUCUGGCUGACACUGAAAUGCACUUUUUAAAAAAACAGA
rnacentral:lncRNA from 1 species